rnacentral:rRNA from 1 species
AACGAACGCUGGCGGCAGGCUUAACACAUGCAAGUCGAGCGCCCCGCAAGGGGAGCGGCAGACGGGUGAGUAAAGCGUGGGAAUCUACCCAUCUCUACGGAAUAACGCAUGGAAACGUGUGCUAAUACCGUAUACGUCCUUCGGGGGAAAGAUUUAGCGGAGAUGGAUGAGCCGGGGUUGGAUUAGCUAGUUGGUGGGGUAAAGGCCUACCAAGGCGACGAUCCAUAGCUGGUCUGAGAGGAUGAUCAGCCACACUGGGACUGAGACACGGCCCGGACUACUACGGGAGGCAGCAGGGGGGAAUAUUGGACAAUGGGCGCAAGCCUGAUCCAGCCAUGCGGCGUGAGUGAUGAAGGCCCUAGGAUUGUAAAGCUCUUUCACCGGUGAAGAUAAUGACGGUAACCGGAGAAGAAGCCCCGGCUAACUUCGUGCCAGCAGCCGCCGCCGUAA